CUAAAAAUCUUUGCAUUCCAUAUCCCUUGUGGUCAUCCGAAAGGAAGGCGUCGUCUUUGCCUUUCCGUCAUCAGUUGCCGUGUGUUUUUGAAAGCUCCUUUAUUUCCAUGGAAAACAACACAUUCACUAUGUGCUGAUUCAAAUCAACUCCUCAGAGGUUCUCUUUUAUGAACGAACAAAAAGGGGCCAUUUUCUUAUUUGUGCUAAAGUUAAACAUGGAGGUUCAAUUUAGAAUAGAGGGAGGAGUAAAACAACAUUUUAUAUAUUUUUCUACCAAAAGUUUCUACAUCGGGUAUUUGUCUUUUCAAUUAGAAUUUUAAUAGCAGAGGUAGUUAGUUUUUCUUUCUUUUCACUGGGAUUCAAGAGUUUGUGUAUGAAUUGUUCAAUGUCUAGGUAGGAAAGAAUUAUGAGCUUUCAACUUUUCUUGAAUUCCUGCCGAGACUAGCCAUCUAAUAGCCACUUAUGGGCUGCACAUGUUUCUACCCAAACUUAAAAGGGUUGCUGGUUAUGACCUCUUAUGGAUGUGAAUAGUAUGAUAUAUUUUGUGUAAAUUAAUAUAUUCAUGGAGGUACCGUGUUAUAGCUAUAAUAUUAAUGGUGGUACUUAUGAUACUGGGAUAGUGAAUGUACGAGAGCACCAACUCAGUACCACUACAUUUUAUUUUGAUGGUUCCCUA